GCACCCUUGGUGUAUGGAAACACACAUCUCACAGUUGUCAUUUGACCGAUAAUCAACUAAUCAAGUUGAGUCCGGGGUUUGAAUCCCCGAGGGUGCA